rnacentral:piRNA from 1 species
UGCUCUGCACAAUGGUCUUACCUGCCAAC